UGUAGCUUUUGUAAAGUAAUUUAAUAUAAUUAUUUGUAAAUGAAACAGGAUACAAUUUUUGGUGAAUUAUGAUUUUAUAAAUCAGAAGCAAUGUCAGAAGAUACUAAUAUGAAGGCGCUCUUCAAAGACUUGGGAGAGACGAGUUCUCUUCAUGGUAUCCCAAAAAUUGUUUCUUCGAAGCAAAUCGUUGUUAAAGCAUUAUGGUGCUUGUUACUCCUUGGAACAAUGACAGCCUUUGCUAUUCAGCUCCAUGGAUUAUUUGAGGAGUUUUACUCCUUUCCAACGAAAGACAUCAGUUCGACUCGAUUUCAAACCACUGGCUUUUCCAGCACUAACGUUUUUGCAACAUGAAUCCGAUGAGAAGGAGUCAAUUGUUUAGAUACGACAAUAUAAAGAAUGUUAUUUUUGGAAAGAUUUUAGAAGACAUCAGAGAAAAUAUUGAUAACGAAAACUUUAUACAGGAUUAUGCCUAUGCCCGAGACAAGUUUCAUGCAUGGAAAAGUAGAUUUCAGACCGAGUAUAGAAAACUUUCGGCUGAAAACAAAUCAAAUGUAGGGCAUCAGAAAGAAGACUUUAUUCAUAGUGUGGUAUUUUCAGGUAACCGUAUGAAACUGUCCAUCUUUGAAAAAGUGCAGUCACGUGUGUAUGGUAACUGUUAUACACUCGACAAAGAUAAAUUAAUUGCCAGAGGAAGCGGUCAUAAAAAUAGU